rnacentral:precursor_RNA from 1 species
GGCUUGAGGACCGUAUUCAUGGAAGAGGAUCGAACAGAGAUGAAGUAGACAGUAUGUUGGAUAAAUCUGAAGACAUGAAAUAGGCAGUAUGUUGGAUAAAUCUGGAGGUCUCUGCUAAGAAAAACUGAGAACUUCACUGUAAGUGCAAGAGUUUGAACAGACUGGCUCCUAGCAGAAAUCAGGAAGGCCAAGGAAAUGGAGACCCUGAAGAACAUCAACAACAAAUUUUGUGAGCAGUAUAUAACUACAUUUCAGAAGUCUUAUAUGGAUGUACAGAAAUUCAAUGAGGAAAAAGAAAAAUCAGUGAAUAGUUGUCAAAAAGAACAACAAGCAUUGAAACUGUCCAAAUGUAGUCAGAACCAGACCCUGGAAGCAGGUAAAGAAAUGCAUGAGAAGUCCAUGGAGCUGCAUCAUUGGACUCAAACUGAAUGGUCCAUGUGUUGCCACUGAUGUGAGCCAUUUGCAAGCC